rnacentral:lncRNA from 1 species
CAAUUUGGCUGGGAAGAGGUUCAUGUGGCUGGGAAGCUCGGGAGGAAUCAUGAAAGGUGGGAUGCUGGGAGGAAAUUGGAUAUGGGGAACGGCUUGGUUCUGGCAAGGACACGGAGCAGGGGAGGACAUGGAAGCUUGAUCUCUAAGCACUAAAAAAGGUGACGUGGACAUGGGUUCAUCUGCAAACGCGACCUGCACACAUUAGUUCAGACAUCAUCCCAAUUAGUUCGACUUGACCUGCACACAUUAGACUCGACCAAUAAAAUCAGGCAAACUCGAAUUAUUUUUAAUAAUUUAUUAAAAUGCAAUUAUGAAGGUAACACAUUUUUUUGGUUAAAUUUAUAAAAUAUGUAAAUUAAAAUAAUGAUAAGUGCUAUGAAUAAGAUAUUAAUUUAUGCAUUAUUUAGCACUUAUCACACCCCCCCAACCUACAUUUUGCUAGUCCUCGAGCAAAAUAAUAAUAAUAAUAAAAAAACUAACUCACUUUUGCAGGAAUCGCGAUUGCAUUUACCGUAUGCAAUAAGGCUUUAAACCCCUAGGUGGCCCUAGUGGACGAGUUUUGUCUCGUGAGGGUUUCCGGCGCAGAUACCCACAAACUGCUGUCGAAAGAAUUUAUUUUAUUGUUUUAUAAAAUCUAAUUUCAAAUGCAUAAGUGCCAAUAAUUUCAAAAGCACACAAAGUUUUAAUUAGUAAGUUAGCCCAAAUCAUAUAUCAGUAUGCAACUUAAGUUGAGGUUAUUAAGCUUCCGUUAGAGAGUUGUAAGGUUUAUUUAUACUUGGGUGCUUCGUGAUAUCUGGACCAUACACAAGCUAAGGCUUUAGAUUCCCCAAAAUACUGCUAAAGCUAGUAGUUUCCAAGAAUUGGUCAGAUAAGACCUAAUCACUGAUUCAAAAUCAUCCUAUCUUGCAGGAUUUCGAGAGUUGUGGAUAUUUACUUUAAUACCUCAUGGGCUUUAUCUGUAAUAUUCCAGUUUACUCGAAAUUUUACAACGACGGCUUUCACACUAUCGUCUUUUUCAAGGUCAAUAUUAUUUUUUUCUUUCACUAUAUUUUUUUUUGUAUUUAUAAAUAAUUAUGCACUUUUACUCUUGUAAUGAUUCCUCCGUGUAGUGAGCAUUCAGUCAACAACUCCCACACCAGAUGGCAUAUGGUAUUAGGCAUCAAGACUCCCCUACGGACCUAUGCUCGGGUUCAUCAUCACAAGCCCGCUGACCUUUGACAAUAGGUAGCCCUUUUCGAUGUACCUGACUAAAUUCAUUCUCUCUCUUUUUUUCUUUUCUUUUUUCAUUUUUUUUUCUUCUUUUGUUUUUUUAAGAUGAGAUCAUGGUGAAUUAGAUAGGUAUGAUUCAUCAGGACUCAAGGUUGCUACCAGACUUAACAACAUAAUGUUGAACCUAACCCUUAGAAGUGCAGGCCAUGUAUGUUGUAAAAUUCCAAAGUAAAAAUGAUCUUACAACUCACUAAAAGAACUUUUAAUAAAAAGAACUCAAAUUGACUUACUCCUGACUAGUCAUUGGGCUUUUUAGAUUUUAUAUACUUUGCGUAUUUAUCAUUUCAGCACUAAGGCAUAGAAAUUAGGUUUUUUGUUCGAAAAACUUAUUCAAUAAUGCAAAAAUGCGAAAAAAUUUCUUAUAAAAUUCGAAUCUUAUACCCCUCAACCUAGAUCAGACAUUGCCCUCAAUAUUUUUUUUGAAGAUAUUAUUAUUAUUAUUAUUUUAUAUUAUUUUGCUUUGGACAAAAAUAUGGUGCAUAUGGAGGAUAGAAGCAUUUUACCGUAGUUGCAUCAGUAAUAUGAGGGAUCCUGCUAAGAAAUUGAAAAAAAUGCAAUAGGAAAAAAAAUGCAAAAAUGACCUACGAAAAUUGGGUUGCCUCCCAACAAGCGCUAAGUUUAACGUCUUCAGCCAGACGCAGCGCAUCCUUAUCAAAUCAUACCGGGUAUAGUUGAUUCUAAUGUUCUGAUCUCAGCUCGAAUAUUUCUAGGGGUCUGUUCUAUUUCAAGAUCAAAAGAUAAUAGUUUAAGAGAUCUGGAACAACAUCCUAGCAUGCACCAAUACUUUUCGGAUCAGUCACGUACAGUCAAGCAUGCACUAAAAGAAAAAUACAUCAAAUCCUUGUAUUUGCCCUAAAAUCAUUAGACAACUCCUAACUGGUUUGAAGAGGGCACCUAAGCCUCCAAUCCGGUCUAAUGAACUUAGUUGACCAGGUAAGCUCCCAGGUAAGUGGGGCGGUCACGAUGCAUUCGCAAAGGUCCUACUUAAAAACCACUUGCCUCGAAUAGAUGAACUGUCUCUCUUAAGGGACAAAGCUUGCCUAGACAUCAACUGAGCCACAGAGCGAAAUUGGUGCAACUUUCGGUGAUCUUCGUCCUAUGAGCUCGAAUGUCCCUAGGGGCCAAUGUCUAAUUGAUUUUAAUUAAAGUGAUGCUAUGUGAGAAUUGAUUCACCUAAUUUGGGCAAGAAUCUGGUGAUGAAAUCCAGUUCUUAUCUUAUUGGGGUGAUUGCCCUUACUAUGUGCGAUUAAUUGGUGUAUGUGUAUCAGGCAUGCAUUCACAUUUUUUGCUGAAUUUAAAAUCAAACAAUCACCACAAAAGGGAAUUAAUUUAAAUAAGAAAGGUUUAGAGGUUACCAAAGGAAAUUUCCCCAGCAAUUUUUUUUAUUUAUUUUUUUAGGCAAACCUCUACAGCAUUUCUUUUCCAGCAGUUCCCUUUUUGAUCGUCCCAGAGUUCCUCUUCGAUUCCUGAUCAAAUAAUAUCGAGAGAAAAAUCAAAAAUUAGUAAAAGAAAAAAAGAGAUAAGGAAAGUAACAAAAAUAGAAAAUAUUUUUAUUUUAUUUUAAAUAUAUAUUUUUUUGAAAUUUUUUUUAAUGAAAAGGAAAACAACUAUGCUAGCAAUCUCCGGCAACGGCGCCAAAAAUUGAUAGUCAACUUUAAAGACCACGCAAUAGCACGUAUCUGGUAGGAUAGUGAUUACGGAUAUCGAUCCACAGGAAUUGGGGUACAGUUGUUUUUCUUUAAAAAUAAAAAUAUUUGAAAAAGAGAAUUUGUGAAGACUAUUAAACUAAGUAAUUUAAUAAGAAAUGCAAUUAAAAUGAUCAGUUUGGAGGAACCUAGGGCAAGAAAUUCACCACUAACAUCGGAACAAGGAUUAAUUAUAUUUUAAUUUAUUCUUGGAUAAACGUGCAAAUUGGUUACAAGCCUAAUAAGCAUUUAAAUAGAAAUUCACAAAAGUAAUUUAGGCAUAAUCCAUCUUUAGUUAGCAUAAAAUGUCUACCCUAAUCUAAGGUGGCAGCACAUCGCAUCUUCCUUAAAUAUGGACUAUCUUAUAUUUACCUAGUGAUCAUGAAGAACAAUUGUAUAAACGUCAUAUUUAAAAUCACAGAAAUUAAAUAUGAUUCAAAAGAAGAUAUCCAUUAAAAACAAUAAGUUCAUACAACCCCAAGAAUAAAAAAAAAAAUAAAUACAAAUCCCUUAUCCUUUUGUUAGGGCUGCAUCCAGCCCUACAGAAGAGCUUAAGCUUCCAUACAGUGGUAAACGGCAGCAGCAGCACAGCAGCGGGCUCCCGUCACUUCCUUGUCUUCCUCUUGUGAUUCCCCUGAGACCGAUUCCUUCCUUUGGGAAAUCAUUCCCAAAAUGCCCAGACUCUUCUCCCUCCUCUGUUUCCCGUGGAACUUGGCCUGUGAGAGAUAGAUGGGAUCAACCCCCGGUGGGGGAAGAGGGAAUGCCCCCCCGGUGGGGAAGGAGGAAUGCCCACUCUGAUCAGAAGUCCUCCCUUAUAUAGGCAGCCCAUCUCUCUCUCUCUCUUGCUUGUAACUAUUCCGAAUGGGUGGAUAAGGCAUGAGCUGAUCCGGGCGUUUGAAAGAGGCUGAGCUGGGAGAUGAAGCUCGAUCAAAUGAUUCGGGAGGAUGAGGAUGAAUAUGGAGACGUGGGAGUUUGGAUUCUAAACGGGAUCUGGGACAGCUGGGAACUGAUCCGGAAGGACCUUGAAUCGCGGACGGCUUCUAGUUUUAGGGAAGAUGGGUUGCUCUGUUUUGAGGCUGGGAAGCUAGAUCAAUGCAUGGGUCUAAUCCGCACACGGCUGGGAAUGGGAUAAGGACGAUUACUAACGGGAUGAAGGCUGAGAAGAAAUGAGAUGAGUCGUUGCUGCUGAUCCGCGGAUGCUUUGGGCUUGGUUGGGAAUGAACACUGGAAACAGGGGAUAAGCUUGGAUUCAGCUGGCAGUUUAGAUGAAGCUUGCUUGGAAGCUUGGGAAC